CAGGCUAGAAGCGGGGCUCUACUGGGUCUUACUACCAGCAGUUGGGGACACCCAUGAAGGAAUGGAGUAACAGGUGCAGUGGCUGCAUCUCAAAUGGAUGUCUUGGAGCAUUUAAGGUAUUAAAGAAGCACUAGAUAUGUCAGAGGGAGAAAAAACAAUAACUAGGCAACUUCUGUUGGAGGCCCAUAUGCCAUCUUCUGCAAACAUGCUGAUUCCCCUUGCCUGACUUAAAGGGGAAACACUCUCAGCAACAGGAAACAUAAGAAGAAAGAAAAGCAAACUGGGGAAAAAAUUAAGAUGCAGGAGAAUGGUUUGUAUUUACCGUUAUGUUCUCUUGACUUUUGUUCCUCUAGGACAGCUAAGGCAGUUGAGUUUCAUUGUUCCCUGAGUAGCUCAUGAAUAUUUCAGUUCCAAAUGGCUGAAUGUUGUUUUUAUUAGCCUAUUUAAAUAGCAGCACCAGUAUGUUUUCCUGCAUGUGGCUGAA